AGCCUGCCGGUGCGGGAAGAAGGCCUUCGGGUUGUAACCGUUUUUGUUCGGAAAGAAAUCCUUUGGGCUAAUACCCCGGGGGGAUGACGGUCCUGGAAAAAUAAGCACCGGCUAACUNCGUGCCCGCAGCCGCGGUAAUACGUAGGGUGCGAGCGUUAAUCGGAAUUACUGGGCGUAAAGCGUGCGCAGGCGGUUGUGUCAAGUACAGAUGUGAAAUCCCCGGGCUUAACCUGGGAACUGCAUUUGUGACUGCNCGGCUAGAGUGCGGAAGAGGGGAGUGGAAUUCCNCGUGUAGCAGUGAAAUGCGUAGAUAUGCGGAGGAACACCGAUGGCGAANGCAGCUCCCUGGGCCUGCACUGACGCUCAUGCACGAAAGCGUGGGGAGCAAACAGGAUUAGAUACCCUGGUAGUCCACGCCCUAAACGAUGUCNACUGGUUGUUGGUCCUUCACUGGAUCANUAACGUANCUAACGCGUGAAGUUGACCGCCUGGGGAGUACGGCCGCAAGGUUGAAACUCNAAGGAUUG
rnacentral:rRNA from 1 species